UACGUAGGGUGCGAGCGUUGUCCGGAAUUAUUGGGCGUAAAGGGCUCGUAGGCGGUUUGUCGCGUCGGGAGUGAAAACUCAGGGCUUAACCCUGAGCCUGCUUCCGAUACGGGCAGACUAGAGGUAUGCAGGGGAGAACGGAAUUCCUGGUGUAGCGGUGAAAUGCGCAGAUAUCAGGAGGAACACCGGUGGCGAAGGCGGUUCUCUGGGCAGGACCUGACGCUGAGGAGCGAAAGUGUGGGGAGCGAACAGG
rnacentral:rRNA from 1 species